GAGGUAGCAAUACCUCCUAGAGUGGCGGACUGGUGAGUAACACGUGGGUGACAUACCCUUCAGAUGGGGAUAGCCAUUAGAAAUAGUAGAUAAUACCGAAUACGAGCACAGGGGUUAGAGAUCUGUGAGGAAAGGAGCUAAGGCUCCGCUGAAGGAAUGGCCUGCGGCCCAUUAGCUAGUUGGUGAGGUAAGAGCCCACCAAGGCGAUGAUGGGUAUCCGGCCUUAGAGGGUGAACGGACACAUUGGGACUGAGAUACGGCCCAGACUCCUACGGGAGGCAGCAGCUAAGAAUAUUCCGCAAUGGACGAAAGUCUGACGGAGCGACGCCGCGUGGAUGAAGAAGGCCGGAAGGUUGUAAAAAUCCUUUUGAAACUGAAGAAUAAGCGUUGUAGGGAAUGACAGCGUGGUGACAGUAGGUUUUGAAUAAGCAACGGCUAAUUACGUGCCAGCCGCCGC
rnacentral:rRNA from 1 species